GGGCCCGCACAAGCGGUGGAGUAUGUGGUUUAAUUCGAUGCAACGCGAGGAACCUUACCAGGGCUUAAAUGCAGAGCGACAGAGGUGGAAACACCUCCUUCUUCGGACGGUCUGCAAGGUGCUGCAUGGUUGUCGUCAGCUCGUGCUGUGAAGUGUCGGGUUAAGUCCCAUAACGAGCGCAACCCCUAUUUCUAGUUGCCAGCGGUUCGGCCGGGGACUCUAGAGAAACUGCCAGCGUAAGCUGUGAGGAAGGUGGGGAUGACGUCAAAUCAUCACGGCCCUUACGUCCUGGGCUACACACGUGCUACAAUGGUGAGGACAGAGAGUUGCCAACCCGCGAGGGUGAGCUAA
rnacentral:rRNA from 1 species